AGCACAGCCAUGAACGCGGCUUGACUGUUUUGUAUUGGGUUUAUCCACCUUAACGUUUGAAGGCGGUUCGUCCGUCGCCCGCUCGGCUAGUUCUGAAAAUAUUACAGAGAAACUCAAGUGAUUGUAUUGAACUACUAGUAUCCUCACAUCGCUAUGUUCUCCAUCAGUUCAAAUAAAUCUUUGGUACUCUUGCGGUUCUGCAGCAGGGCUGCUUGUCGGACGAGGACAAGUCGCGUCAAUUGUGAACAUCAGAACUAAGGACAUUCUUGAUGAAGAUGAACGCAAAACGUGUAUGCGGGCCCAUGGAAUCGCUGCUGCUUGCCUUGUUAUCUUUCUCCCUUGUUCGAGGUCACACUACUAGCCGACCAGGUGCGAAUCCGGCGGAGGGCAAUGGUGCUGGGUUCAGUGUCGGCGGUCUGAAGUCGGUCCUGGAGAACACUGUGUCCCCUGCCUUCGGUGCCACCAUCAUCAUCAUCAUCACCGUUAUUGUGUCGGGGAGCGCCUAUCUCUGUUUCCUGAAAUCCCAGACAUCUACUGUCCCCCUGAACCUUUCACGACCCAUCAGCAGAGCAUCGCUCGUCAGCUUCCCUCAGAUUCACGUCACCUCAGCUCUUCUCCCUCUCAUCCAUCAGCAGAGCAUCGCUCGUCAGCUUCCCUCAGAUUCACGUCACCUCGGCUCUUCUCCCUCUCGCCUCUCGGUGUCCCCUGUGGUAGAAAUUCACAUAUUAGUACUCUUUCUAAGGCAGGUAAGACCAAGAUCAAAACGC
ensembl:lncRNA